AUUGAACGCUGGCGGCAUGCUUUACACAUGCAAGUCGAACGGUAACAGGCCGCAAGAUGCUGACGAGUGGCGAACGGGUGAGUAAUGCGUCGGAACGUGCCCAGUCGUGGGGGAUAACGCAGCGAAAGCUGCGCUAAUACCGCAUACGAUCUAUGGAUGAAAGCGGGGGACCGAAAGGCCUCGCGCGAUUGGAGCGGCCGAUGUCAGCUUAGGUAGUUGGUGGGGUAAAGGCUCACCAAGCCAACGAUCUGUAGCUGGUCAGAGAGGACGACCAGCCACCAUGGGGCGGAGACACGGCCCAGACGCCUACGGGAGGGAGCAGUGGGGAAUUUUGGACAAUGGGCGCAAGCCUGAUCCAGCAAUGCCGCGUGCAGGAAGAAGGCGUUCGGGUUGUAAACUGCUUUUGUACGGAACGAAACGGUCCGGGUUAAUACCCUGGGCUAAUGACGGUACCGUUAGAAUAAGCACCGGCUAACUACGUGCCAGCCGCCGCCGUAAAAC
rnacentral:rRNA from 1 species